GACGAACGCUGGCGGCGUGCUUAACACAUGCAAGUCGAACGGAAAGGCCCCUUUGGGGGUACUCGAGUGGCGAACGGGUGAGUAACACGUGCGUAACCUGCCCUUGACUUCGGGAUAACUUCAGGAAACUGGGGCUAAUACCGGAUAGGAAUCCUUGCUGCAUGGUGGGGGUUGGAAAGCUUCGGCGGUUUUGGAUGGACUCGCGGCUUAUCAGCUUGUUGGUGGGGUAGUGGCUUACCAAGGCUUUGACGGGUAGCCGGCCUGAGAGGGCGACCGGCCACAUUGGGACUGAGAUACGGCCCAGACUCCUACGGGAGGCAGCAGUGGGGAAUAUUGCACAAGGGGCGGAAGCCUGAUGCAGCAACGCCGCGGGCGGGAUGACGGCCUUCGGGUUGUAAACCGCUUUCAGCAGGGGCGAAGCUUGUGGUGACGGUACCUGCAGAAGAAGCACCGGCUAACUACGUG
rnacentral:rRNA from 1 species